AAGCUAUACACAUUAGCUUCCAAUUACAGUUUUCACGCCUCCUCUCUUCAUUGGCCCAUCGCCGCCGUCGCCGUCCGAUCGACGGAGAUUUAUCCAACCUUAAGUUAUCCAAACGUAGAGUCAGUUGUUUUUUUUUGGUUGGGGUUUAGAUGGCGAAGAAGAGGAAGUCUUUGGCAUCAAGUAUCGAUGAGGUGGAUCGAACCAUGUACUCAACGUUUAGUAGCGCAGCGAAUUCGCUUUCACAGCUUUAUAGUCAGGCUUUGAAUCAACAGAAGCUUUCAUUUCAGGCCGGUGAACGACAUGGAUUGGAGAAAAUGUAUCAAUGGAUCUUGAGGCAACAAGAGGGAGGAUCCAGAGUAACAACUGCUGACAUGAUGAACUACCUGCAGUCGGAACUGGACUACAGUGGAGAGGACCAUUCAAUGUCGCCUAGACCACCGCAGAACCAACAUUCUCAACCAAUGCUUUUUGCAAAUUCAGGCUUCCCUGUCUCUUCAGGCUCAAUUGGUGUUGCAGCUCCAGGACAUGAUGUACGAUUACAUCAUGAUCCACAAUCAAAGAAUUAUGUUUUCUCAAAUGCUCUUUCAAGCCCUGUUCGGCAAAGCCUGCAGAAUUAUCAAGUUGCUCAAGGAGGUUACUUUUCAAACAAUGUUCAGCUAUCAAUUGGAGCAAGAAACAACGAAACCAACCUCCACCACCAAAAUGGGGAUUCCAAUAGCUAUAACUCAGCUGAUGCUGCCAUGGAUAUGCAUUCUGAUAGCCCUGGUCAUGAUUUUACUUGCUGAAGUAAUUUGUAUAUAGAAUGUUUUGGGAGCUGCUUCUUGUCAUGCCGUGGUAUUCAAGCAGCAAGUUCAGGUUGAUUGAUUGUCGUGUGUAGCAGCUGUUGUCAGGGAGAAAAUGCCGUUAUUGAAUUGGGUGUAUGAUUCAGAGAUUGAAAGGUGCGUUCGUGUUGGCUAGUAAAUCAUCAUUCUGUUGACAUGCUCUUAACGUAAAAUGCAACGUGAUGGGCACAAUA
rnacentral:misc_RNA from 1 species